CAACUAGUAUUUUAAUAAAAAUAUUAACUUUGGGUGUUAAAGAUGUGGGUUGUUCUACCUUGUUGA
rnacentral:tRNA from 1 species